ensembl:lncRNA
AGACAUGCUGAAUAACAAAGCCAGGAGGACAGAGAAAGUGUAACAGUGCGAGCAAAAAAGGGGGAAAAGGACGAAAAAGAAAGGCGAGCGAGCAGCAGAGCGAGAAGGGAAAUGCAAAAGAUGCAGAAUUGCAAAAGAUGAAGUCAAGCACUGUGCUUCCCAUGGACCUGGUUAGUUCUUUGUGAGAUGCGUUUCUAUUUGCCAUUUGCCUGUGCUGAUGUCUGUUGCUUUGUAAAGUACAGUAGCUCCCUGUGACUGUGUAUUGUUCCAUUCAGGAGAGAAACUUAAUCCCUGUCAAUAUAUAACAUAUGCCAUAAAGGGAAAGAACCAUAGACAAAAACCGACUUAAUGUGCCCUGUAAAUGUGUUCUGUACAACUGUUUUAUUUCGCCUCCAUAAAGUUCCUCUUUACUUUCUCUCUUGACUUGGAAAAUAAACACUCUAUACAUUUUCUGAAGGUGCCUCACUAAGCCUAAACGGUGGCAUAAGUUAUUUUGUGUUAUUAAGGACUUAAUUUGGAAGAAAAACAAAAAAACAAAAAACAAAAAAACCCACAAAGCAAGUUGCUUCUUCGUAAAGUGACAAUUUAAGGCAUUUAAGAUUUGCUAAUUGUAAAGGCACAAUUAGAAAUUUAGAUCCCCCAGUUUAAAAAGAAGCCCUCAACAAAGACUCCAGGAUGAGUGGGGUUGAAAUUUGGGGUUGAGGAGCAGCCUGGUUUUGAUGCACUGCCAACUCUCAACUAUCUGCUUUAGCCACGGGAGAGAAAGAAAGGAUGAAUUAAAUCCUCAGUUAAUCCCCAAACCUUCUUUUAACCAAGUUUCAGCUUCCUCUGCACCUCACCCACAUCCUUUAUCAGAGCUGCUAUAAUACAGAAAAGGGUGAACUGAGUUUUACCUCAUUUUUCCAUCCACUAUUGCAAGAGGGUUGGACGAGAUGACCUUGGAGGCCAGUCCAACCCUGAAGGAAGUGCUAAUGAGCAGUGAAAUGACAACAAGGCCAGCAACAGCAACGAGAAGGUCAGGAAGCUUCUGAAGCUGCUUAAUCCACCAGCAAGGGAGAUUUGACUCUACCAGAGGAAGGUUUUAUUACAGUUUUAGAAAAGUGUCAAGUGUCAAACAAGGAUGUAUUUCCCCUUAUCUGCAAAGGAAAUCGUUGAGUUUUGAAAGAAUAAAAGAGCAGCCUUGGCCUUACAUUGCCAUAGGUGUGUCACCAGGACGUUUUCCCUUUACAGACCUCCUGAGAGCCCAGAAAUAUAUGCGGUGGACGCACAAGACAUUUAGAAUUAACGUUCUUUCCUUUCAUUAUUAAAAAGUACUGAGAAGAGAUAUGAAAUACACAAAUAUGGAAAACCUGAUCAAGCCAUAAUGGGCAUGUGAAUACAGGCAGGUCUGCCUAUACACAUACCUGCUGUGUUGCUUUUCAAAAAGGUGAAGAAAAGCAGGUUGUUCAACUUUAGGUUACCUACUUCAUAUGGUAUAUCAAUUAAAGAGAGAGAAACUUUAAAAAUCCUAUUUUCAAGCUGUUAGGAAAGUCAAGGUCAUACGAAGAUUCACCUUUGUUCUCAAUACUAAGUAUGUGGACCUAGAAAAAUGGAUAGUACAAAUCCAUAACAAAGAGAGCCUAUUCUCAAAAUAUGUUUUCCCUUUUAGAAAGAUUUGUUUUACAAAUCUCUCAAAAACUAGCUAAUGCUCAUAAGCUAAAGUGGAUUCACAAGUAGAUAUAAAAAUGCUUAACUUUGUCUUUCCACUAUUGCUUUUAUCUGAAAUCCUCAUCACAUUAAAGAAAGGUGAUUGAUUGAAAUAAACUUUCAUAUA